UACAGAGGUCCCAAGCGUUGUUCGGAUUCAUUGGGCGUAAAGGGUGCGUAGGUGGCGCUGUAAGUCGGGUGUGAAAUCCCGGGGCUUAACUUCGGAACUGCAUUCGAUACUGCGAUACUCGAGGACUCGAGAGGAGAUUGGAAUUCACGGUGUAGCAGUGAAAUGCGUAGAUAUCGAGAGGAACACCAGUGGCGAAGGCGAGUCUCUGGACGACUCCUGACACUGAGGCACGAAAGCCAGGGGAGCAAGCAGG
rnacentral:rRNA from 1 species